CCAAUAGCGUAUAUAAAAGUUGUUGCAGUUAAAAAGCUCGUAGUUGAAUUUCGGGGUUAGUAGGUUGGUCAUGCCUCUGGUAUGUACUGAUCUCACUGAUUCCUCCCUCUUGACGAACUGUAAUGUCAUUAAUUUGGUGUUGCAGGAAAUCAGGACUGUUACUUUGAAAAAAUUAGAGUGUUUAAAGCAGGCUUAGGCUUGAAUACAUUAGCAUGGAAUAAUGAAAUAGGACGUUUGAUCCUAUUUUGUUGGUUUCUAGGAUCGACGUAAUGAUUAAUAGGGAUAGUUGGGGGCAUUAGUAUUCAAUUGUCAGAGGUGAAAUUCUUGGAUUUAUUGAAGACUAACUACUGCGAAAGCAUUUGCCAAGGAUGUUUUCAUUAAUCAAGAACGAAAGUUAGGGGAUCGAAGACGAUCAGAUACCGUCGUAGUCUUAACCAUAAACUAUGCCGACUAGGGAUCGGAUGAUGUUAAUUUUUUAAUGACUCAUUCGGCGCCUUACG
rnacentral:rRNA from 1 species